rnacentral:rRNA from 1 species
UGGGGAAUAUUGGGCAAUGGACGAAAGUCUGACCCAGCGACGCCGCGUGCGGGAUGAAGGCCUUCGGGUUGUAAACCGCUUUCAGCAGGGAAGAAGCGAAAGUGACGGUACCUGCAGAAGAAGCACCGGCUAACUAUGUGCCAGCAGCCGCGGUAAUACAUAGGGUGCAAGCGUUGUCCGGAAUUAUUGGGCGUAAAGAGCUCGUAGGUGGUUUGCUACGUCGGAUGUGAAACUCUGGGGCUCAACCCCAGACCUGCAUCCGAUACGGGCAAGCUUGAGUUUGGUAGGGGAGACUGGAAUUCCUGGUGUAGCGGUGGAAUGCGCAGAUAUCAGGAGGAACACCAAUGGCGAAGGCAGCCCCCUGGGAUAACACUGACGCUCAUGCACGAAAGCGUGGGGAGCAAAUAGG